rnacentral:rRNA from 1 species
UACAGAGGUCUCAAGCGUUGUUCGGAUUCAUUGGGCGUAAAGGGUGCGUAGGUGGCGGGGUAAGUCUGGUGUGAAAUCUCGGAGCUCAACUCCGAAACUGCACUGGAUACUGCCUUGCUCGAGUACUGGAGAGGAGAUUGGAAUUUACGGUGUAGCAGUGAAAUGCGUAGAUAUCGUAAGGAAGACCAGUGGCGAAGGCGAAUCUCUGGACAGUUACUGACACUGAGGCACGAAAGCCAGGGGAGCGAACGGG